AUUGAACGCUGGCGGCAGGCCUAACACAUGCAAGUCGAGCGAGCGGCGGACGGGUGAGUAAUGUAUGGGGACUGCCCGAUAGCGGGGGAUAACUACUGGAAACGGUAGCUAAUACCGCAUACUAUCGGAUAACCCAUAUGGGAUUAGCUAGUAGGUGAGGUAAUGGCGAACAUAGUCGACGAUCCCUAGCUGGUCUGAGAGGAUUAUCAGCCACACGGGGACUGAGACACGGCCCAGACUCCUACGGAGGCAGCAGUGGGGAAUAUUGCACAAUGGGCGAAAGCCUGAUGCAGCCAUGCCGGGUGGAUGAAGAAGGCCCUAGGGUUGUAAAGUACGUUCAGUCGGGAGGCGUUACCGACAGAGGAAGCACCGGCUAACUCCGUGCCAGCCGCCGCGGUAAUUG
rnacentral:rRNA from 1 species